UUUCCGUAGGUGAACCUGCGGAAGGAUCAUUACCUUUGGCUGCCGUGAGCGCUUCGGCGUGAGCGACAGUCAUUCUAUAGUGACGCCUCCGUGUCCGGGAAACCGGCGCGGGGCUGACCUAACCCUUCUCUACGAGUACCUAUUAUUCUCCUUCGGCGGGGUCUACCCGCCGCUGGAACUUAAGAACCAACUUGCAUUUAGCAUUACCUGUUCUGAUAACAAUUAAUUAUUACAACUUUCAACAAUGGAUCUCUUGGCUCUG
rnacentral:misc_RNA from 1 species